AGAGUUUGAUCAUGGCUCAGAUUGAACGCUGGCGGCAGGCCUAACACAUGCAAGUCGAACGGUAACAGGAAGCAGCUUGCUGCUUCGCUGACGAGUGGCGGACGGGUGAGUAAUGUCUGGGAAACUGCCUGAUGGAGGGGGAUAACUACUGGAAACGGUGGCUAAUACCGCAUAACGUCGCAAGACCAAAGAGGGGGACCUUCGGGCCUCUUGCCAUCAGAUGUGCCCAGAUGGGAUUAGCUAGUUGGUGAGGUAACGGCUCACCAAGGCGACGAUCCCUAGCUGGUCUGAGAGGAUGACCAGCCACACUGGAACUGAGACACGGUCCAGACUCCUACGGGAGGCAGCAGUGGGGAAUAUUGCACAAUGGGCGCAAGCCUGAUGCAGCCAUGCCGCGUGUAUGAAGAAGGCCUUCGGGUUGUAAAGUACUUUCAGCGGGGAGGAAGGUGUUGUGGUUAAUAACCACAGCAAUUGACGUUACCCGCAGAAGAAGCACCGGCUAACUCCGUGCCAGCAGCCGCGGUAAUACGGAGGGUGCAAGCGUUAAUCGGAAUUACUGGGCGUAAAGCGCACGCAGGCGGUCUGUCAAGUCGGAUGUGAAAUCCCCGGGCUCAACCUGGGAACUGCAUUCGAAACUGGCAGGCUUGAGUCUUGUAGAGGGGGGUAGAAUUCCAGGUGUAGCGGUGAAAUGCGUAGAGAUCUGGAGGAAUACCGGUGGCGAAGGCGGCCCCCUGGACAAAGACUGACGCUCAGGUGCGAAAGCGUGGGGAGCAAACAGGAUUAGAUACCCUGGUAGUCCACGCCGUAAACGAUGUCUACUUGGAGGUUGUGCCCUUGAGGCGUGGCUUCCGGAGCUAACGCGUUAAGUAGACCGCCUGGGGAGUACGGCCGCAAGGUUAAAACUCAAAUGAAUUGACGGGGGCCCGCACAAGCGGUGGAGCAUGUGGUUUAAUUCGAUGCAACGCGAAGAACCUUACCUGGUCUUGACAUCCACGGAAGUUUUCAGAGAUGGAAUGGUGCCUUCGGGAACCGUGAGACAGGUGCUGCAUGGCUGUCGUCAGCUCGUGUUGUGAAAUGUUGGGUUAAGUCCCGCAACGAGCGCAACCCUUAUCCUUUGUUGCCAGCGGUUCGGCCGGGAACUCAAAGGAGACUGCCAGUGAUAAACUGGAGGAAGGUGGGGAUGACGUCAAGUCAUCAUGGCCCUUACGACCAGGGCUACACACGUGCUACAAUGGCGCAUACAAAGAGAAGCGACCUCGCGAGAGCAAGCGGACCUCAUAAAGUGCGUCGUAGUCCGGAUUGGAGUCUGCAACUCGACUCCAUGAAGUCGGAAUCGCUAGUAAUCGUGGAUCAGAAUGCCACGGUGAAUACGUUCCCGGGCCUUGUACACACCGCCCGUCACACCAUGGGAGUGGGUUGCAAAAGAAGUAGGUAGCUUAACCUUCGGGAGGGCGCUUACCACUUUGUGAUUCAUGACUGGGGUGAAGUCGUAACAAGGUAACCGUAGGGGAACCUGCGGUUG
rnacentral:rRNA from 1 species